rnacentral:tRNA from 1 species
AGACGGGUAAUUCAGGUUGGUUAGAAUGCUCGGCUGAUAUCCGGGUUGUCGCAGGUUCAAGUCCUGCCCCGUCUA